rnacentral:rRNA from 1 species
CGCCCUUACGGGAGGCAGCAGCAAGGAAUUUUCGGCAAUGGGCGCAAGCUGACCGAGCAACGCCGCGUGCGGGAUGACGGCCUUCGGGUUGUAAACCGCUUUUCGGGGGGACGACCCUGACGGUACCCCCGGAAUCAGCCCCGGCUAACUCUGUGCCAGCAGCCGCGGUAAGACAGAGGGGGCGAGCGUUGUCCGGAGUCACUGGGCGUAAAGCGCGCGCAGGCGGCAACCUAAGUGUCGUGUGAAAGCCCCCCGGCCCAACCGGGGGAGGCCAUGGCAAACUGGGUCGCUCGAGCUGCGGAGAGGCCCCUCGAAUUGCCGGUGUAGCGGUGAAAUGCGUAGAGAUCGGCAGGAAGACCAAGGGGGAAGCCAGGGGGCUGGCCGCAGCUGACGCUGAGGCGGGACAGGUGGGGGAGCAAACCGGAUUAGAUACCCGGGUAGUCCACGCCGUAAACGAUGACCACUCGGCGUGUGGCGACUAUUGACGUCGCGGCGGUG